UUGUAGGGCCAGAGCUCUUAC
rnacentral:misc_RNA from 1 species